UACGUAGGCUGCGAGCGUUGUUCGGAGUUACUGGGCGUAAAGGGUGUGUAGGCGGUUGUUUAAGUUUGGUGUGAAAUCUCCCGGCUUAACUGGGAGGGUGCGCCGAAUACUGAAUGACUUCGAGUGCGGGAGAGGAAAGUGGAAUUCCUGGUGUAGCGGUGAAAUGCGUAGAUAUCAGGAGGAACACCGGUGGUGUAGACGGCUUUCUGGACCGUAACUGACGCUGAGACACGAAAGCGUGGGUAGCAAACAGG
rnacentral:rRNA from 1 species